UACAGAGGCCUCGAGCGUUAGGCGGAAUCACUGGGCUUAAAGCGUGUGUAGGUGGAUGCCUAAGUACCUUGUGAAAUCCCAUGGCUUAACCAUGGAAUUGCUUGGUAUACUGGGUGUCUUGAGCCACUCAGGGGCGAGCGGAACAAGCGGUGGAGCGGUGAAAUGCGUAGAUAUCGUUUGGAACGCCAAUGGUGAAGGCGACUCUCUAGCCUGUAACUGACGCUGAGACGCGAAAGCGUGGGGAGCGAACAGG
rnacentral:rRNA from 1 species